rnacentral:rRNA from 1 species
GGGUUAAGUCCCGCAACGAGCGCAACCCUUGUCAUUAGUUGCUACGAAAGGGCACUCUAAUGAGACUGCCGGUGACAAACCGGAGGAAGGUGGGGAUGACGUCAGGCCCUCAUGGCCCUUAUGGGUAGGGCUACACACGUCAUACAAUGGCCGGUACAGAGGGUUGCCAACCCGCGAGGGGGAGCCAAUCCCAGAAAACCGGUCGUAGUCCGGAUCGCAGUCUGCAACUCGACUGCGUGAAGUCGGAAUCGCUAGUAAUCGCGGAUCAGCUUGCCGCGGUGAAUACGUUCCCGGGUCUUGUACACACCGCCCGUCACACCAUGGGAGCGGGUUCUGCCAGAAGUAGUUAGCCUAACCGCAAGGAGGGCGGUUACCACGGCAGGGUUCGUGACUGGGGUGAAGUCGUAACAAGGUAGCCGUAUCGGAAGGUGCGGCUGGAUCACCUCCUUU